rnacentral:rRNA from 1 species
CGACGUAGGGGGCGAGCGUUGUUCGGAAUUACUGGGCGUAAAGCGCGUGCAGGCGGUAAGGUAAGUCAGAUGUGAAAGCCCCGGGCUCAACCCGGGAAGUGCAUUUGAUACUGCCUUUCUUGAGUAUGGGAGAGGAGAGUGGAAUUCCCAGUGUAGAGGUGAAAUUCGUAGAUAUUGGGAGGAACACCCGUGGCGAAGGCGACUCUCUGGACCAAUACUGACGCUGAGACGCGAAAGCGUGGGGAGCGAACAGGAUUAGAAACCCCAGUAGUCC